UACGUAGGGACCAAGCGUUGUUCGGAUUUACUGGGCGUAAAGGGCGCGUAGGCGGCAAUUCAAGUCAGCUGUGAAAUCUCCGGGCUUAACUCGGAACGGUCAGCUGAUACUGCUUUGCUAGAGUGCAGAAGGGGCAAUCGGAAUUCUUGGUGUAGCGGUGAAAUGCGUAGAUAUCAAGAGGAACACCUGAGGUGAAGACGGGUUGCUGGGCUGACACUGACGCUGAGGCGCGAAAGCUAGGGUAGCAAACAGG
rnacentral:rRNA from 1 species